UCUUGGGGGUAUGAUAUAAAAUGCUAACCUUCCCUGUUAUUGUAAUGGUGAGAGGUUAGCAUGUCUUGGGUGUAUGAUAUAAAAUGCUAACCUCCCCUGUUAUUGUAAUGGUGAGAGGUUAGCAUGUCUUGGUGGUAUGAUAUAAAAUGCUAACCUCCCCUGUUAUUGUAAUGGUGAGAGGUUAGCAUGUCUUGGAGGUAUGAUAUAAAAUGCUAACCUCCCCUGUUAUUGUAAUGGUGAGAGGUUAGCAUGUCUUGGGGGUAUGAUAUAAAAUGCUAACCUCCCCUGUUAUUGUAAUGGUGAGAGGUUAGCAUGUCUUGGAGGUAUGAUAUAAAAUGCUAACCUCCCCUGUUAUUGUAAUGGUGAGAGGUUAGCAUGUCUUGGGGAUAUGAUAUAAAAUGCUAACCUCCCCUGUUAUUGUAAUGGUGAGAGGUUAGCAUGUCUUGGGGGUAUGAUAUAAAAUGCUAACCUCCCCUGUUAUUGUAAUGGUGGGAGGUUAGCAUGUCUUGGGGGUAUGAUAUAAAAUGCUAACCUCCCCUGUUAUUGUAAUGGUGAGAGGUUAGCAUGUCUUGGGGGUAUGAUAUAAAAUGCUAACCUCCCCUGUUAUUGUAAUGGUGAGAGGUUAGCAUGUCUUGGAGGUAUGAUAUAAAAUGCUAACCUCCCCUGUUAUUGUAAUGGUGAGAGGUUAGCAUGUCUUGGAGGUAUGAUAUAAAAUGCUAACCUCCCCUGUUAUUGUAAUGGUGAGAGGUUAGCAUGUCUUGGAGGUAUGAUAUAAAAUGCUAACCUCCCCUGUUAUUGUAAUGGUGAGAGGUUAGCAUGUCUUGGGG